rnacentral:lncRNA from 1 species
UUUUUUGUGUUAAAAUUGUGUAAAGUGACCCCAUGUUGUUAUUGGUUAUUUUUUAGUUUUUCUUCCAUUAAUUGAAAAAAAUUGUGUAAUGGAUUUGUAAUCCAAAGUAAAUUGAACUCUUUCUUUUUUCCUGACAAUGAAUCUGUUUUAAAAAUUGGUUGGGUAGAAGGCAAACUUGUGAGUUGAGUGGUGAUUUAAGAUGUGAUUUAAUUGUUUUUUGAGUGAACUGAUUUAUAUCUUACUCACUUGGCACCUCUUAUGGCUUGUUAGAGUUGUUGCUUUAUUUCCUUUACUUAUUACAAGUUACCUCUUGUAAUGUAACAUAGAUGCGAGACAAAAAUUUGGGCGAGUUGAACGCCAUUUUCAUUUGUCGAAGAACCUUUCUAUGUAUUUGAGUAAAAUGGUCAUAUUAGGCGUGCACCACCUGUCGUAAGAGUUGAGAAUAUGUUUGAGCAUGUUCAGAUUAGGUGCUUGUGUUUAAGAAUUUGUGGAAGAGCCCGGCACCGUCUAAGGUCAUCACUUUUUUGUGGCAGCUGAUUUUAGAUCGAAUUCAAACUAAGGACAAUUUACGUAAGCGGAGGAUGAUACAUGAUAAUAAUUUCAACUGUGUGCUUUGUACUGUGUGUGUUGAAUCGGCAUGUCAUGUUUUCUCCAUUGCAAGCGUGCAGCUGAGAUAUGGUAUGCGAUUACAAGGUGGUCAGGACUGUUUCUAAUUAUUCCGCAUAAUAUUGCAACAUCGUUUGCGUUAUUCUAUACUAGUGCAAGGAAUAAGAAGGAAAAGAAAGGUUUGUGCCUGAUUUGGCAUGCAUAUGUUUGGGCUAUUUGGACUGUGAGAAACGAUGGUGUUUUUAACGCGAAAGUGUGGAGCGGGUUAAGGUGCUGUCUUGGAAGUGGUUCAUAGGGAGAAUGGCGACGGGUCCGUGUUUACUAUAUGAAUGGAAGUGAAGUCCGUUGGAUUGUAUGCAGCGUUAAUCAGAAUCUGUGCAUGGGUUUUGGUGUUCCCUGUAGGUGCUUAUUGCUGCGUCCCCUUCAUCUUUUCUCUGCUUGAUGUUUGGCUGGUGUGUUGUGAUUGCUGCUAUGUGUUUUUUAGCCUCUUUGCUUGGCCUUUUUGUGUUUGCUGCUUUGUAAUUUGUAGUCGCUAUGUUUUUGGUUUUAUUUGCAUUUGUACCUUUCUAGCUUUUG